AGGGAAUCUUCCACAAUGGACGAAAGUCUGAUGGAGCAACGCCGCGUGAGUGAUGAAGGUUUUCGGAUCGUAAAACUCUGUUGUAAGGGAAGAACCAGUACGUCAGGCAAUGGACGUACCUUGACGGUACCUUAUUAGAAAGCCACGGCUAACUACGUGCCAGCAGCCGCGGUAAUACGUAGGUGGCAAGCGUUGUCCGGAAUUAUUGGGCGUAAAGCGCGCGCAGGUGGUUUCUUAAGUCUGAUGUGAAAGCCCACGGCUUAACCGUGGGGUUAUUUGAAACCUGGGGAACUUGGGGGAGGAGGAGAAAGGUGAAAUUCCAGUGUAGGCGUGAAAUGCCUAGAGAAUUGGGAGAACCACCGUGGGGAAGGCCGCCUUCUUGUUCGGAAAUGAAGGCUGAGCGGCGAAGGAAUGGGAGCAAACA
rnacentral:rRNA from 1 species